UUAGCUUGUUGGCGGGGUAACGGCCCACCAAGGCGACGAUCAGUAGGGGUUCUGAGAGGAAGGUCCCCCACAUUGGAACUGAGACACGGUCCAAACUCCUACGGGAGGCAGCAGUGAGGAAUAUUGGUCAAUGGACGAGAGUCUGAACCAGCCAAGUAGCGUGCAGGAUGACGGCCCUAUGGGUUGUAAACUGCUUUUAUAAGGGAAUAAAGUGAGUCUCGUGAGACUUUUUGCAUGUACCUUAUGAAUAAGGACCGGCUAAUUCCGUGCCAGCAGCCGCGGUAAUACGGAAGGUUCGGGCGUUAUCCGGAUUUAUUGGGUUUAAAGGGAGCGUAGGCCGGAGAUUAAGCGUGUUGUGAAAUGUAGAUGCUCAACAUCUGCACUGCAGCGCGAACUGGUUUCCUUGAGUACGCACAAAGUGGGCGGAAUUCGUGGUGUAGCGGUGAAAUGCUUAGAUAUCACGAAGAACUCCGAUUGCGAAGGCAGCUCACUGGAGCGCAACUGACGCUGAAGCUCGAAAGUGCGGGUAUCGAACAGGAUUAGAUACCCUGGUAGUCCGCACGGUAAACGAUGGAUGCCCGCUGUUGGUUCUGAAUAGGUCAGCGGCCAAGCGAAAGC
rnacentral:rRNA from 1 species